rnacentral:rRNA from 1 species
AUGGCUGCCGCCACCAAAACCAAGCAGAAGCAGCAGCAGCAGCCGGCACCGAAGCCGGAGUUUGCCGACGGCGAGAAAGCCAAAGCGCUGGUUGACCAGGAGAACCUGGCAGCGGGAGUGAUACGGCGCAUCGAGGAAGAGAAAGCCAAAGCAGCGGCCGCUGCCAUGGAAGUGAAAGCGGUGCUGGAGAAGAAGGCUACGGCGUGCAGCAGCUGGAAAGAGCGCGUGGCAGGGGGGCUGGAGCAGCUGACGGACAUGAAGUGA